GACGAACGCUGGCGGCGCGCCUAACACAUGCAAGUCGAACGAGCGAGCGGAGGUUUACUUUCUCAAGCGAGUGGCGAACGGGUGAGUAACGCGUGAGGAACCUGCCUCAAAGAGGGGGACAACAGUUGGAAACGACUGCUAAUACCGCAUAAGCCCACGACCCGGCAUCGGGUAGAGGGAAAAGGAGCAAUCCGCUUUGAGAUGGCCUCGCGUCCGAUUAGCUAGUUGGUGGGGUAAUGGCCCACCAAGGCGACGAUCGGUAGCCGGACUGAGAGGUUGAACGGCAAAAGUGGGACGGAGACACGCCCCAGACUCGAGGGGGGGGAGGGGGGGGGGAAAAUAGAAGAAGGGGGAAAACCCUGAGGCGCCGGGGGCGGGGGGAGGAAGAGGGUUUUGGAAUUGUAAACCCGUGUUGGUGAGGAAGAUAAGACGGGACCUAAAAAAGAAGGUCCGGCCAACUACGGU
rnacentral:rRNA from 1 species